UCAAAAAACAGUACCCCGGUGCCCGCUUUUUCAGUAGUUUGAAACCAGAGAUGAUAGUUGGUUACAAAGUAUUUGAAAAGGCGUGCACUGGGUAAAUUUUGAAU
rnacentral:pre_miRNA from 18 species